CUACGGGCUGCACCAGUGAGGAAUAUUGCACAAUGGGGGGAACCCUGAUGCAGCAACGCCGCGUGGAGGAUGACGCAUUUCGGUGUGUAAACUCCUUUUAUAUGUCAAGAAAAUGACGGUAGCAUAUGAAUAAGCACCGGCUAACUCCGUGCCAGCAGCCGCGGUAAUACGGAGGGUGCAAGCGUUACUCGGAAUCACUGGGCGUAAAGGACGCGUAGGCGGGUUGGAAAGUCAGGUGUGAAAUCCUACAGCUUAACUGUAGAACUGCACUUGAAACUUCUAAUCUAGAGUAUGGGAGGGGGAGAUGGAAUUAGUGGUGUAGGGGUAAAAUCCGUAGAUAUCACUAGGAAUACCUAAAGCGAAGGCGAUCUCCUGGAACAUUACUGACGCUAAGGCGUGAAAGCGUGGGGAGCAAACAGGAUUAGAUACCCUCGUAGUC
rnacentral:rRNA from 1 species